rnacentral:rRNA from 1 species
AUGGAGGCUAAGAUGUCGGGAGCGGCCGCCAUUGCCGCCCUGUGCGUGCUCCUCCUCGUGCUGCCUGGGCAGGUGGCUGCCAAGUCCAAGUUCUGUGAGUGCUACGAGGACUGCUACCGUCAAUGCAGGCACCACAUCCUGCGGUUCGCCUGCGUCCCGUUCUGCUCCAACAAGUGCAGCCCCAACCAGGCCGCCGCCGCCGCCGGCUUCAGUGACCGCGACCGGUGCAGGGAGGCCUGUGCCAAAGUCAAAAUCUGCGGCCAGUCAGAUCCUUCCUACGACGAAUGCGAUCGUGGCUGCUACUAG